GACAGAGGCCUCAAGCGUUAGGCGGAAUCACUGGGCUUAAAGCGUGUGUAGGCGGAUCGUUAAGUGUCUUGUGAAAUCCCACGGCUCACCCGUGGAACUGCUGGGCAUACUGGCGAUCUUGGGCCAACUAGGGGCAACUGGAACAAGCGGUGGAGCGGUGAAAUGCGUAGAUAUCGCUUGGAACGCCGAAGGUGAAAACAGGUUGCUGGGGUUGUGCCGACGCUGAGACACGAAAGCCCAGGGGGAGCAAAACGGG
rnacentral:rRNA from 1 species